rnacentral:rRNA from 1 species
GUAACGAGCGCAACCCUUGUCCUUAGUUACCAGCACGUUAUGGUGGGCACUCUAAGGAGACUGCCGGUGCAAACCGGAGGGAAGUGGGGAUGACGUCAAGUCAUCAUGGCCCUUACGGCCUGGGCUACACACGUGCUACAAUGGUCGGUACAAAGGGUUGCCAAGCCGCGAGGUGGAGCUAAUCCCAUAAAACCGAUCGUAGUUCGGAUCGCAGUCUGCAACUCGACUGCGUGAAGUCGGAAUCGCUAGUAAUCGUGAAUCAGAAUGUCACGGUGAAUACGUUCCCGGGCCUU